GACCACAGCUCAGUGGUAGAGCAUCUGCUUUGCAUGCAGAAGGCCCCUGGUUUAUGCCCCAAUUGCAUCUCCAGGUAGGUCA
rnacentral:tRNA from 1 species